rnacentral:rRNA from 1 species
GACGGAGGAUGCAAGCGUUAUCCGGAUUUAUUGGGCGUAAAGAGCUCGUAGGCGGUUUGUCGCGUCGGAUGUGAAAACCCAAUGGCUUAACCUUGGGCCUGCAUUCGAUACGGGCAAACUAGAGUGUGGUAGGGGAGACUGGAACUCCUGGUGUAGCGGUGGAAUGCGCAGAUAUCAGGAAGAACACCGAUGGCGAAGGCAGGUCUCUGGGCCAUAACUGACGCUGAGGAGCGAAAGCGUGGGGAGCGAACAGG